GCGCCCGGGUCCUCGGCGCGAGGCCUCUUGGCCUUUCACCCCGGGCGUGGGGCCCCGUCGCCCUGGUCACCUGGACGCCCCUCACCUGACCGGCCGCCCCGCUGGAAGAGACUUUGGUGGAGCUGCUUUGUUUCGGAGGCAGAUUACACAGCAUCAAAUCCAGGACCUCACGUUGCAUUUCCUUGACCUGCCUUUUCGGUGUCCUCCAAAUUGUGACAGUCCCUCAGUCAUCUCCAACCUUUCAUGACCUUCACACUUUUUGAAGAGUACUGAUCAGGCAAACAAACUGAGACGGAAGAUGUAAAGUGAUGUCUCCAGUAUGGAUACGAAGUUUCAAAAGUCAGACUUGAACUCAGUUCUGCUGACUCCUUUCCCGAGUGGUCCCUCUCAGUGGCAUGUGAAUCUCAAUAGGAUCAGUCUUCCGUGAAAGCUGCAGGAUUCAAACCAGGGACUCCCGGAGAUAUUUAGGAGAUUGGAGCGCCGGAGCCCUCCCAGGGUCCCUGAAAACCCAGCACAGCAGCAACCUGUGGGUAAUACUCCCCUGGGAACAAGCCUCACCCUGAGGGGUAGCCCUGCAGCCGCCUCCUUGGCCGCCUGGAAUGGCCUUCCCGCCAAGUCCAAAGACUGUCUUCCUCUGGGGCCAGGGUUUCUGAAUUGCUUUCUGUGGGCUCAUUCCUACUUUUCAUUAGAUUAGGUGCAAACACUCUGAGUAAACAAAAUAAAAAUUCCCUAGCAUCAGCAGCCCAGUGCUAACGGCUACACCCUGGAUGAUUUUCUUUUAGUUAAUAAUUCAAUUGCCAAAAAUGUCGGUGGGGGGGUGGGGGGCUUGGCAGGGACUUGCCUCCAGCUGCAAAUCAACUUCAGACCCCAGAGGAACUUGAAAGAACUACCAGUGCCCACAAUGGUUCUUCAGUGCAGCCUGUGUUUACUCAGGACCAGCCCACAACCUCCAUAGCCCCAAAGGCGGCCUGCAUGUAAAUGCUACAUUGUGCAGUGAUUUGGGGGUUAUGUGGCUUCAGGCUGGUGGCAGAUGAUUUGUGAGGCGGCUUCAGAUCCAUCAGGUUUGAAAUUCGACAUUGGCUGGUAUGUUUUGCUUUUACACUCAUUCAUUCCUCCUUCCAUUCAUCAAAGCUUAAUUAAAUGCCUACUGUGUGCUAGGCACUGUACUAGCUACCAGCUAUAGGAAAACAUAAAAGGACAUGGUCAUUGCCCUAAAAAAAAGAUGAUAAGGAGAGACGUGUGCAAUCCCUUGACAAGUUCCCUAUUCUCCUCAGAGCAUUAACGUGACCCUUGUCAUGCUCUCUUCUUGGGAUCCUCUGAUGAGUUAAACUCAACAGAUUGGGGUAUAUGAUUAAUUCAUCAGACAUAGGUACUUCAUAGAACCAGGUACUUCCCAAGGCAGCAGAGUUAACAACACAGAAAAACAUGGUCUCUGUCCUCAAGGAUAUUCAGACUAGUGGGAGAGAGGGAUCUGCCGGACAAUGGUUGCAUUAAGGAGCCAUAAUUAGUAAGAGACAACCGUUCAGGCUAUGGUGUAAGCACAAGG